GGCGCUAUAGUGUAGUGGUUAUCACUUGGGAUUCUGAGAAGGAUAUUCCCAAAACCCAGGUUCGAGCCCUGGUAGCGCCU